rnacentral:rRNA from 1 species
AUUGAACGCUGGCGGCAGGCCUAACACAUGCAAGUCGAGCGGAUGAAGGGAGCUUGCUCCUGGAUUCAGCGGCGGACGGGUGAGUAAUGCCUAGGAAUCUGCCUGGUAGUGGGGGAUAACGUCCGGAAACGGGCGCUAAUACCGCAUACGUCCUGAGGGAGAAAGUGGGGGAUCUUCGGACCUCACGCUAUCAGAUGAGCCUAGGUCGGAUUAGCUAGUUGGUUGGGUAAAGGCCUACCAAGGCGACGAUCCGUAACUGGUCUGAGAGGAUGAUCAGUCACACUGGAACUGAGACACGGUCCAGACUCCUACGGGAGGCAGCAGUGGGGAAUAUUGGACAAUGGGCGAAAGCCUGAUCCAGCAAUGCCGCGUGUGUGAAGAAGGUCUUCGGAUUGUAAAGCACUUUAAGUUGGGAGGAAGAGCAGUAAGUUAAUACCUUGCUGUUUUGACGUUACCAACAGAAUAAGCACCGGCUAACUUCGUG